CGAGUUUACAACUCCCAAACCCCUGUGAACAUACCACUUGUUGCCUCGGCGGAUCAGCCCGCUCCCGGUAAAACGGGACGGCCCGCCAGAGGACCCCUAAACUCUGUUUCUAUAUGUAACUUCUGAGUAAAACCAUAAAUAAAUCAAAACUUUCAACAACGGAUCUCUUGGUUCUGGCAUCGAUGAAGAACGCAGCAAAAUGCGAUAAGUAAUGUGAAUUGCAGAAUUCAGUGAAUCAUCGAAUCUUUGAACGCACAUUGCGCCCGCCAGUAUUCUGGCGGGCAUGCCUGUUCGAGCGUCAUUUCAACCCUCAAGCACAGCUUGGUGUUGGGACUCGCGUUAAUUCGCGUUCCUCAAAUUGAUUGGCGGUCACGUCGAGCUUCCAUAGCGUAGUAGUAAAACCCUCGUUACUGGUAAUCGUCGCGGCCACGCCGUUAAACCCCAACUUCUGAAUGUUGACCUCGGAUCAGGUAGGAAUACCCGCUGAACUUAAGCAUAU
rnacentral:rRNA from 1 species